rnacentral:tRNA from 1 species
CAGGAGAUAGUUUAACGUAAAAAUGCCAGCUUUGGGAGCUGGCGAUAGGGAUUUGAGUCCUCUUUUUCUGA